GCAGAUGCAACAUCUAGUGUUUGUGACAGUUGUUCCUUGAGAAACAAACACAUCACAAGACUUAUAAACCCAAAUAAAACACCAAUAUCACAUUUCCAGGUAGUUUGUGAUAGUCUAGUCCACCGGGAGAAGAGUUGAAACUGUUUAUGAAUGAUUUAUGAGGUGAAAGCUUAGAGACGACCUGAGUCACGAGAUACAGCACUUCUCUCACAGAUGUUCUGUAUGGUCAUGACCAGUCACCACGCUCCCUCCACAGCCCAAUUCAUUCUAUUGGUCCUGCUCACUGUCGCUUCAGAGCUGGCCUCUGCCCCUGUGGGGGGGGAAGAGAGUGGGGAGGAGGGGCGCUCCAGGACUCACCUCAAAAAGGACAGCCUCAGCCCCAGCCCCCUCCGCUCUCCCCUGGACCAGACCCAGGACCAGGUAAAGGAGCAGAGUCAGGAACAGAGCCAUGUUGGUCCCGCAGACAUGGACCCUGCCCGGGCACUAGCCUCUGUAUUUCUGAAGGCCCUGGACCACACCGGGAAAGCACAGGCACAGGAGAGGGGAGAGGGACAGGAAGAGGCUGACCCAGUCCCUUUGGAGGAGAAAGGGGGUGAGGAGAUGAGGAGAGAGGUUGGGAUGGAGGAGGAGAAGAGGAUGGAACACCUAGAAGCAGCACUAGUGGCAGCAGCUCUGGGAGAGGAAUUAAGAGAGAGGAAUGAGGAAGAGGAGGAGAGUGAGGAGAGGAAGAGUUUGGAGGACAGAGGCUGGCUUCUAGAGGGAGAGCGGGACAGAGCUGGUGGAGGGAGUGAGGAGGGAAGACAGCAGAAGGAAGAGGAGGAGGAAGAGGGGGAGGAGGAAGAAGAAGGUGGAGAAGGAGGGAGAUGGGGAGGUGAGGAGGAGAGGGAGGAGAGGAAGAGGUUGGAGGACAGAGGCUGGCUUCUAGAGGGAGAGCGGGACAGAGCUGGUGGAGGGAGUGAGGAGGGAAGACAGCAGAAGGAAGAGGAGGAGGAAGAAGGGGAGGAGGAAGAAGAAGAAGGUGGAGAAGGAGGGAGAUGGGGAGGUGAGGAGGAGAAAGGAGCAGAGGGGAGUAGGAGAGGAGAGGAGGGGAGGCCUAGUGACUCGUCUCUCCAGCGGAAGGCUCGGGGCUACUUCCAGAACAUAGACCUCGGUCUCCAAGACAAUGAGAUUCGUCCUCCUCUGAAGGGAUACAAGGCCUAUAACACCCAGCUGGCACAGGCUGGCAAGAGGCUCCGCUGGGAGGAGGAGAGGGCACGCAACACACCCCUGUGGGGCAACUUCAUGGACAACUUUGAGAACAAGGCAGAAGAGGAGGGGGAGGAGGGGGAGGAGGGGGAGGCUCUGUCGUGGGCAGAGGAGGAUGCACGUGCGCUUGUGGACCAGCAAGAAGUGCAGCGGCAGCAGAAGGAGGCAGAGAGGGCCAGAGAAGAGGAACAGCGACUUGCGGACAUUGCCUCUGACAUGCUGCUGCAGUACAUGGAGAGGAAACAGCAGGGAACGCCGUACCUCACGCCCAGGCAGAAGGCCGGCACAAACGCUGUGGAGGACAAACGGUCAGAGGAGGUGGCAACUGACAUGGACGACCUGGACCAGCAGAUGAUUGAUAGGUUGAUCGAGAUCAGCAGCAAGCUGCACCUGCCGGCCGACGACGUGGUCCAGAUCAUCUCCAACGUAGAGGAGAAGAAGAAGAGAAAGGAGCUGACGUCGCUUAGCAACCGGGUCGCCCCGCGUUACCGUCCCCUAGUUCCCCCUCCCCUAGUGACAGGCUCCAUGUACCACUACACAGUCUCCUCCAACCCCAAGAAGGACCCUUACUACCAGCCCUACAAGAACAAGUGGCAAAACGAUAGAGCCAAGGCCAUGGCCUACAAGCAGGACGUCUGGUUCAAACCCCAGAAACAGAAGGAAGUCUGGUUCAAACCCCAGAAACAGAAGGACGUUUGGUUCAAACCCCAGAAACAGUUCCUAGCCUUUCCGUCCUACCCCUACUAUCAGAAACCCUACCGUGCCUACUACCCUGUGAUCUUCCCCUACCCCAAACCCCAGUACUACGACAAGAUGCCCAUGGGGGCGGAGCUGCCCCACCGCCCACUCCCAGACUACGAGCUCCAGCCAAACAGGCGCAGACACAGGGCAGGGGGCAGGGAAAAAGGGAGAGGUGGGCAGGGCUGGAGACAACAGCCCCUCCCACCCCGUCUCCCCUCACCCCACUACAUCUCCAACUACAUCUUGCCACACCCCCGGACAUAUCAGCCCCUCCCCCAGCCCAGACCCCUCUCUCCCCAGAGCAGGCGCCCCACCUACUACUACCCCCCAGGGCCUGGGGGCUUGGGUGUGGCCGGGGGAAGGGUGGGAGGGGACUAUGAAGAGGAUGAUGGGCUGGUUCCUCAGCUGGACAGUCAGGAAGAACUGGAAAACUUGAUUUCAAGAAUAUACAUGAAACGCAGAAUGUACUAGAGACAGACCGAGAGACAGACACUACCACAUGACAGAGGGACCAAGCAGGGAAGGA
ensembl:lncRNA